GAUGAAGAACGUAGCAAAAUGCGAUAAGUAAUGUGAAUUGCAGAAUUCAGUGAAUCAUCGAAUCUUUGAACGCACAUUGCGCCCGUCAGUAUUCUGGCGGGCAUGCCUGUUCGAGCGUCAUUACGCCCCUCAAGUCCCCUGUGGACUUGGUGUUGGGGAUCGGCGAGGCUGGUUUUCCAGCACAGCCGUCCCUUAAAUUAAUUGGCGGUCUCGCCGUGGCCCUCCUCUGCGCAGUAGUAAAACACUCGCAACAGGAGCCCGGCGCGGUCCACUGCCGUAAACCCCCCCAACUUUUUAUAGUUGACCUCGAAUCAGGUAGGACUACCCGCUGAACUUAAGCAUAUCAAUAAGCGGAGGA
rnacentral:misc_RNA from 1 species